CAAAAAAAAAAAAAAAAAAAGAAUAGAAUAAAUUAACUGUAGUCACCAAGUGCAAUAGAUCUCUUGCACUUAUUCUUCCUGUCUAACUGAAAUUUUGUAUAAUUUGACCAACUCCUGAUUCCCCAACCUCUGCUCCCAAAGACCUCAUUUUAACGUAAUUACCUCUGUGAUGACACUAUCUCCAAAUAUAGUCACAUCCUUAGGUGCUGAGUGUUAAGGUGUCAACAUAUGAAUUUUGGGAAGCACACGAUUCAGCUCACAGUAGCCUCUGUCAGGACAUAACGUUUACAUUGUGAUCCCAGUAACCUCGCAAUAGAGGGAAUGACAUGCAAAGAUUCUGAGGAAGAAAAUUCCAGGCAGGGAAUUCUGUUGAGCAAUGGCCCUGAAAUGGGAGUGAACAGGGUGCGUUUGAGGAACCAGAGACCAGUGGCAGAGGGCAUGGGGUGCAGAAUGCAAAGGGAGGACAUGAAGUCGCAGAGUUCCGGCCAAAUUGCAAGAUAAAAAGUUUGCCUUUAAUCCAUUCUUUUGACAUCUAAGUUCUGGAAGUCAAGGCUAUGGACUGAUCUAAAACCAUGAAGUUUUCCCUUCUGGAGCCCAAUCUUGUUUGGACUGCUGCCUGAUCUCUGGAGGAGUGAUGAGUCCACACCAAGAAGCAGUGAAUAGCAGUGAUCUACCUGUGAACACUUGUUUCUGAAAAGGUGAAGGGUAUGGUGCUAACAUUAUAUUGACCAAGCUGGUUUUGAACUCCUGGUUUCAAGAGCUCCUCCCCCCUCAGCCUACCAAAGUGCUGGGAUUACAGGUGAGCUCCACCAUGCCUAGCCUCAUAUAUAGCAUAAGGAGGAAGUCCUGCCUGAAAAUAGCUGCAGCUAGAAACUUUUCACUCUGUCCUCAUUUGGCCAUAUAUGAGUUGGUUCACAUCUUCAGUCACUCAGGACCCAAAGGGGUGAAGCCUGGAGUUCUAUUUUCCACUCACUGGUGCUGGGGCAAAAACUUUCCUCAAACUAUUAGUUUAAUGCCUAGCAAUGCUAAUUUUUAGUGAGAAACUUAAAAUUACUUAUCAUAACAAGACUUUAAGAUUUUAAAUUACCAAAUAAAAAAUUAAAAUUAUAACAUGGGUACUUUCUCUAAUUUUGGGGGGGUUCAAGUACCUAUAUUAUAUAUUGAAACCUACUGUUUCUGUAAGCCCUACUCUUAAGUCAAAACAGCCUUGAUGUUAUUGUGAAAAGGUACUUAGCAUUAAUCCUACCCUUAGGCAAAUUUAUAUAGUGAUUUCAAUUGUCCUACACAUUACUUUCCUGUGAUAAGUGUCUGGGUUUAGGAGGUAACAGUGCGGGGAUCCACCAUCUUCAGCCAUCUGAGACAUAGCUUCUAUUUGUAAGUCCCUCUUAAAUGUUUCCUUCUGAGAAACUGUCAGCCUCUUUCUUCAACCUUUCAACAUCCUUGGCCUUUAAAGAUAGGUUUACAUAUACCUACUCAUGACAAAACAAGGUUAUAUAUAUAUGGUCUGUCCAUUACUAGAACAUUGUUAUGUGGUUCAUGACUGUAAUGUGUGGCACAUGUAGUUUUGUACAUGAAUAGUAUACUUUAUAUAGUAUAUUUUAUAUAGCUGCUUUCUAUUACACAUCACUAAAAUACAUGUUCAGUAAGUGCUCACUUAAUGUCAUUGAUAGAUUCUUGGAAACUGACACUUUAAGUAAAACAAUGUACUAUAUAAUAAAACCAAUUUUACCAUUGGUUAAUUGAUACAAACAAGAGUUAACUUCCUAUGGUAUGUAGUAUUUUGUUUCACUUAAAGUCAGUUUCCAAGAACCUAUCAAUAAAGUGAGAAUAUACUGUAAUUAGUAUUAUAGUAUAUAGUACAUUACUGCAUUAUACUAUUAUAGAAUGUUAUUGUAGUCUUAGCAGUUGGUAGGGUAAUGUGUUUCAGUUUCCCCCAAGAUCGCAGAAUUAUUCAGACAAACCAAUAACAACCUCCUGUGGGAACCAGGAGCAUCUCAUCCCUUGAUACUACAGAGCCUUCCCCGGACAACUCCUGUUUGUUCUCUCUGCUCCCAAGAGCAAUCCCUGUGUGGGUCUAUUUACCUUACAUAAUUCCCUCUUUCCAUGAUUAUAUGUAAUGAAUAACUGCUGUCAAUCUCAUUAGUCCAGUGAGUGGUGCCAUGAUUUUAACUGCUCCAGUAGCCCUAGGGUGGUAAUUUUUCCCUCAAACAAUUCACAACACAAACUGGAUUAACCACCCAUAACUGAGGACAGCUGCUCAACUGUAACUGCUUUUGGCCUACUGGUUUCAUAAUACAUUAAAACCCACCUCAGUCAGAAGCACCAACUGCUGGUAGGCUUUUGCUUUGGUCUAAAAAGCAGUUUGGGGCCUUUAUCAAGAGUUGCCUUCCCUGCCCACACUAAAGCACACUCAUCACCUAGACAUAAAUGGUCAAUUGACUCUUUUCCAACCUGAUGUGUAGUCAGGUUUAGCCUGUGUUUGGCAGGCAGUUUGCUGCCUGUCAAGGCAGUGAAAACACAGCACCUUAAUCCGUCAGCACUUCAGUCCUGAUUUCCAAGAGUCCGGCUAUAUCCCUGUGAUCACUUCAUCUGAUCUGGUUAUCAUUACUAAAUGCCUGGGUAGUCAUCUGAACAUUGUUUAUUAUUGCACACUCUCAGGACAGGCCCAGGGAUAGUCUUUUGUAAAACUGCAGAAACAAAAGAGACUUUCACUUUAGAAAGAAUUAUGCAUGUCACUCAGUUGCUCUAACAAGUGCUACUGUCAUGCAAGCAAGAACAGUGGCCUUCUCUUUUCUGAGCUUCUGCUUCCUUUGCUGCUGUCAUGAGCUCUCCUGAUGAGGUGCAUAUUGCUUGUGCCUUAUGGUUCAGGCACUGAUGAGUAAUCAAAAGGAAAAAGACCAUUUGCUAUGAGGCCCUCCCAAAAGCCCUAUCCAGAGGGGUUUGUGGACCUUUGUAAUUAGUAUUAUGUGUAAUAAAUACACAUUUAUUUUUUGAACAAUUUUUGAGAGUUUUCAUAUUAGUUGUUGAUUUACUUUUAUACCCCAUUUAAUUCUUCUCUCUCACUCUUCUCCUUCUCAGACUCAGUCAUUUCACAGGUCUCUAUGGCUCAGUUUAUUUUCUUUAAAUUUUGUAGAUUUACUUUUGUACCCCAUUUAAGUUUUUCUAUCUCUCCCCUUUUCUCAAACUCAGUCAUCCCACAGGUCUGUAAGGCUCUGUUCAUUUUCCUUAAACUUUUUAAAACUUUUCAAAUUGUAUCUUCAGAUUGGAUAAUUUCUAUUGCUGUGUCUUCUGUUUCUGAUCUAUACAUAAGCUCAAAUUAUUAUUUUUAUUUCUUAUUUUUAUAUUUGGGUAUUUUUCAUUUCUUUGCUGAGUUUCCACAUUUGUUCAUUUGUAAGAAUACUUUCCUUUGUCACCAUGAGCAUACUUAUAAUAGCUGC
rnacentral:lncRNA from 1 species